CAUUUCCUUUUGGGAAUUAUUUAAGGUAAGACCUGCUCAAUGAAAAUUUAAAUAGCUGCGGUAUUUUGACCGUACAAAGGUAGCAUAAUCAUUAGUUUUUUAAUUGAAAGCUAGAAUGAAUGGUUUAACGAGGAAUUGACUGUCUUGAAUUAAUUUAUAAAAUUUAAUUUUUUUGUUAAAAAGCAGAAAUUUAAUUAAAAGACGAGAAGACCCUAUAGAUCUUUAUUUAUUUAUUUUAUAUUUAUGUUUAGAUUAAUUUUUUUUUGUAUAUUUUAAAUAAAUUUUAUUGGGGUGAUAUAAAGAUUUAAAAAACUCUUUAAUUUGAAAUUAAUUAUUUUUAUUUUUUUGAUCCAUUUUAUUGAUUAUAAGAUUAAGUUACCUUAGGGAUAACAGCGUAAUUUUUUUAAAGAGUUCUUAUCGAUAAAAAAGAUUGCGACCUCGAUGUUGGAUUAAGAAAAAAUUUUGGUGCAGAAUUUAAAAUUUUAGGUCUGUUCGACCUUUAAAUUCUUACAUGAUCUGAGU
rnacentral:rRNA from 1 species